GCGAAUACGGCCAGAUACAGGAAAAGGAUAAUGCCAAGUUCAGCUUGAGAUAGAAUGUGAAGUUAAGUUGUAAAGUAUGUUGAAGAAUAGUAUUGUCAUGUGUUAGACAGUCAUGAUUUGUGUAUAAGUUAAGGUUACUCGAUUUUGGGAAUAGUGUAAUGUAUAAACAAUUUAUGUUUAUAUCUUCCGCAACAGUUGUAGAAAUAGUGAACCGGAUCCGCGGCGAUUUGGGACCCGGAUCUGGGGAUGCCACAGCAACCUUCCCCAGAAAGGGUUACAACGCAAUGCUACCAUUGACACAUACAUCAAUGAAGGUCAAGCAGCCUUGACAAUGCACCCAACAGGGACUUAUCCGGUGAUACACACAUUAGCGAAGAUCAGGCAACCCUGAUAACAACAAAC
rnacentral:lncRNA from 1 species